ensembl:lincRNA
GCCUCAGUAAAGUGAGCUGAAGGACAUAAACAUAACCAAUAAGAAAGAAGAGGUGUAGACAAUUGUUUCCAGGAGUAUAGCUUUAAAAGCAGAGAAAAAGAUAAGUUGGUAGAUGGUAUGUGGAAGACAUACUGUUGAGAGACUGAGUUUUAUUUCUUUGUUUUAUUGUUUCUUUUAGGAUGGCUGAUAUUAGACAUGCAUGUGCAUACAGCAAAGGGAGUAACCCAAUAGUGAGGAAGAAAUUGAUGCUGUAGGAGAGAGGGAAUAAUUGCCAAAGCAAAGAUCUUGAGGUACUGAGAAAGGAUGACCUUAAUUUCCUUAAUGAUGCAGCCUGCUUCCACCGAGGGACUGAAGGCUCCUUGAGCAAAAUUAUCUACCUGUUCACCUUUGGAUCUUUCACAGUUCCCAGUCUGAAAUCCUAGAAAUGCUAAGAUCUCAGGACAUCUAUGCUAAGCCCAGAAAACACUGACGAGCUUUUACGUUCCUGGAUAAGGGUAUGUACCAGAAGUAAGAGUAAUUAUUAAAUUACCUGAAACAUCAAUUCUAAUCAUAAUAACAACUACUAAUGUUUGUACAUCGCUUUCCUGUUUAGAUAGUAUUUUCCCAUAUGUCUG